rnacentral:rRNA from 1 species
AUUGAACGCUGGCGGCAGGCCUAACACAUGCAAGUCGAACGGUAACAGGAAGCAGCUUGCUGCUUCGCUGACGAGUGGCGGACGGGUGAGUAAUGUCUGGGAAACUGCCUGAUGGAGGGGGAUAACUACUGGAAACGGUAGCUAAUACCGCAUAAUGUCGCAAGACCAAAGAGGGGGACCUUCGGGCCUCUUGCCAUCGGAUGUGCCCAGAUGGGAUUAGCUUGUUGGUGGGGUAACGGCUCACCAAGGCGACGAUCCCUAGCUGGUCUGAGAGGAUGACCAGCCACACUGGAACUGAGACACGGUCCAGACUCCUACGGGAGGCAGCAGUGGGGAAUAUUGCACAAUGGGCGCAAGCCUGAUGCAGCCAUGCCGCGUGUAUGAAGAAGGCCUUCGGGUUGUAAAGAACUUUCAGCGGGGAGGAAGGGAGUAAAGUUAAUACCUUUGCUCAUUGACGUUACCCGCAGAAGAAGCACCGGCUAACUCCGUGCCAGCAGCCGCCGUAA